rnacentral:rRNA from 1 species
AAAGAAAGUAAGCAAGGGCGCAUGGCGGAUGCCUUGGCUCUCGGAGGCGAUGAAGGACGUGAUAAGCUGCGAUAAGCUUCGGGUAGGUGCAAAUAACCUUUGAUCCGAAGAUUUCCGAAUGGGACAACCCGUCAUUCUGAAGGAAUGACAUCUUGCAUAGCAAGAGGCUAACGCAGGGAACUGAAACAUCUUAGUACCUGCAGGAAAAGAAAAUAAUAAUGAUUCCCCUAGUAGUGGCGAGCGAACGGGGAUUAGCCCAAACCAAUGUUGUUACGGCAAUAUUGGGGUUGUAGGACCACGAUGUCGCAAGAAAUUUAGUGAGAAGAAUUCUUUGGAAAAUGAAACCAUAGACGGUGAUAGUCCGGUAUUCGAAGCUAAACGAAGCGUAGUGGUAUCCUGAGUAGCGCGGGACACGAGGAAUCUUGCGUGAAUCUGCCGGGACCAUCCGGUAAGGCUAAAUACUCCCGAGAGACCGAUAGCGAACCAGUACUGUGAAGGAAAGGUGAAAAGCACUUCGAAUAGAAGAGUGAAAUAGUCCCUGAAACCGUGCGCCUACAAGCGGUCGGAGCAGCGUAAGUUGUGACGGCGUGCCUUUUGCAUAAUGAACCUACGAGUUACUUUUUCCGGCAAGGUUAAGCAUUUCAAAAUGUGUAGCCGAAGCGAAAGCGAGUCUGAACAGGGCGAUUAGUCGGAAGGAGUAGACGCGAAACCAAGUGAUCUACCCUUGGUCAGGUUGAAGGUUAGGUAACACUAACUGGAGGACCGAACCGAUAAGCGUUGAAAAGCUUCCGGAUGAACUGAGGGUGGGGGUGAAAGGCUAAUCAAACUUGGAGAUAGCUCGUACUCCCCGAAAUGCAUUUAGGUGCAGCCUUGGGAAUUACUACUGUGAGGUAGAGCGACUGAUAAGAUGCGAGGGCUUCACCGCCUAUCAAGUCUUGAUAAACUCCGAAUGCGCAGUAGUUCGAUCCCAGGAGUGAGGGCAUGGGUGCUAAGGUCCAUGUCCUAAAGGAGAAGAAUCCGGACCAUCAGCUAAGGUCCCGAAAUAAUUGCUAAGUUGAACUAACGAAGUCAGAUUGCUAAGACAGCUAGGAUGUUGGCUUGGAAGCAGCCAUUCAUUUAAAGAGUGCGUAACAGCUCACUAGUCGAGGAGUUUGGCGUGGAUAAUAAUCGGGCAUCAAGCAAUUUACCGAAGCUAUGGGAUCAGUAAUGAUCGGUAGGGGAGCAUUCCACUCUGCGUCGAAGGUGAAGCGUGAGCUUUGCUGGAGCGUGUGGAAAAGCAAAUGUAGGUAUAAGUAACGAUAAAGGGGGUGAGAAACCCCCUCGCCGAAAGACUAAGGUUUCCUGAUCAACGCUAAUCGGAUCAGGGUUAGUCGGGUCCUAAGGCUCAGCCGAACGGUGAGGCCGAUGGCAGAACAGGUUAAUAUUCCUGUACUACCUUAAAGAGUGACGUGGAGACGGAGGCGUGAUAGCGCCGCGGACUGACGGAAUAGUCCGUUGAAGGGUGUAGAUGUUGAUCUUUGCAGGCAAAUCCACAAAGAGAGUCGAACCUGAUAGUAUGGAACGUUCUUCGGAACAAUCCAAUAGUGCGUGUAAACAUACUCCCAAGAAAAUCCGCUAAACUUAAUCUUUAAGGUACCCGUACCGCAAACGGACACACGUAGUCGGGUUGAAUAUACUAAGGCGCUUGAGUGAUUCACGGUUAAGGAACUAGGCAAAUUGACCCUGUAACUUCGGGAUAAAGGGUCCCAACGAGAGUUGGGCGCAGAGAAUAGGUCCAGGCAACUGUUUAACAAAAACACAGGGCUGUGCCAAAUUGAAAGAUUACGUAUACAGCCUGACACCUGCCCGGUGCUGGAAGGUUAAGAGGAGAUGUCAUCGCAAGAGAAGCAUUGAAUUGAAGCCCCAGUAAACGGCGGCCGUAACUAUAACGGUCCUAAGGUAGCGAAAUUCCUUGUCGGGUAAGUUCCGACCUGCACGAAUGGUGUAAUGAUCUGGACACUGUCUCAACCGUGAGCUCAGUGAAAUUGUAGUAUCGGUGAAGAUGCCGAUUACCCGCGAUGGGACGAAAAGACCCCGUGAACCUUUACUAUAGCUUAACAUUGAAUUUGGGUAAUUGAUGUGUAGGAUAGGCCGGAGACUU